AGCAGCCGCGGUAAUUCCAGCUCCAAUAGCGUAUAUUAAAGUUGCUGCAGUUAAAAAGCUCGUAGUUGAAUUUCGGGACCAUCAUGUCGGUCGUGCCUCGGUACGUACUGGCAUUGUUGGUUUCUCCCUUCUGACGAACCAUGAUGUCAUUAAUUUGGUGUCUUGGGGAAUCAGGACUGUUACUUUGAAAAAAUUAGAGUGUUUAAAGCAGGCUCACGCUUGAAUACAUUAGCAUGGAAUAAUGAAAUAGGACGUUUGAUUCUAUUUUGUUGGUUUCUAGGAUCGACGUAAUGAUUAAUAGGGAUAGUUGGGGGCAUUAGUAUUCAAUUGUCAGAGGUGAAAUUCUUGGAUUUAUUGAAGACUAACUACUGCGAAAGCAUUUGCCAAGGAUGUUUUCAUUAAUCAAGAACGAAAGUUAGGGGAUCGAAGACGAUCAGAUACCGUCGUAGUCUUAACCAUAAACUAUGCCGACUAGGGAUCGGAUGAUGUUAAUUUU
rnacentral:rRNA from 1 species